rnacentral:lncRNA from 1 species
CUGGAUCUUCCUGCCUUGACAGCCCCACAGAAAAUGCUAAGAGCCCAGGAAGGUUGUGAAGGGUGUGUGUGUGUUUGUGUGUGUGUCUGUGUGCUGUGUGUGUCUGUGUGUGUUUGUGUGUGUCUGUGUGUUUGUGUGUGUGUAUGUGUGUGUCUGUGUUUGUGUGUGUUGUCUGUGUCUGUGUGUGUGUCUGUGUGUCUGUGUGUGUGUCUUGUGUCUGUGUGUUUGUGUGUGUGUCUGUGUGUUUGCAUCUGUGUGUUUGUGUGUCUGUGGGUUUGUGUGUGUUUGUGUGUCUGUGUGUGUUUGUGUGUCUGUGUGUGUUUCUGUAUGUCUGUGUGUGUGUUUGCAUCUGUGUGUUUGUGUGUGUGUGGGUUUGUGUGUGUCUGUGUGUUUCUGUGUGUCUGUGUGUGUUUGUGUGUCUGUGUGUGUGUUUGCAUCUGUGUGUUUGUGUGUGUGUGGGUUUGUGUGUGUCUGUGUGUGUUUGUGUGUCUGUGUGUGUGUUUGCAUCUGUGUGUUUGUGUGUGUGUGGGUUUGUGUGUGUCUGUGUGUCUGUGUGUGUUUGUGUGUGUCUGUGUGUCUGUGUUUGUGUGUGUUUCUGUGUGUCUGUGUUUGUGUCGGUGUGUGUCUCUGUGUGUGUGUGUGUAUGUGUAUUGGGAGGACAGUGGUCCCAGCUCCUCAGGGGCAUCAGGCUCUGUAGCAGGGCCCACCGUCUCGGCAGGAGGGUGCAAUGGCCUCACCCACACUGUCCAGGCAGGUCUCUUGGGACCCCUUUUAGCCAGCACAGGUGCCUUCUCCCUCGGCAGGAGGGUGCGAUGGUCUCACCCACACUGUCCAGGCGGGUCUCUUGGGUCUCCUUUUCCAGCACAGGUGCCUUCUCCCUAGGAAAGGGCAAAGAGGUAAUGACCACACUCAGGUGUAAACUCUGCAGCCGGAUUUCUAAACUAGAACCUACUGAUCAUGGGAUAAAAAUCAGGAAACGGCAAAGAUGUAAUGACCACACUCAGGUGUAAACUCUGCAGCCGGAUUUCUAAACUAGAACCUACUGAUCAUGGGAUAACAAUCAGGAAACGGUGAAGAUGUAAUCACCACACUCAGGUGUAAACUCUGCAGCCGGGUUCUAAACUAGAACCUACUGAUCAUGGGAUUCAGGUGUCCCUGAACUUGGAUGGAAAAACGUUGCAUCUUUACUUUCACCAACCUCUAGGCUAAAGUGAGUGUUCCUCAAUAGUGAAUGUGGCCAAAGGACCUAGCGGUCUCCACAGAACCUGGGACUCCACUGUCAGCAAAGUCCUGUGUAUUUUCCCAUCGUGUUUCAGUUGCUUCGGCGUCUUGAAGCCUCAUUUUUGUUCCUGCUUCAACACUGUUGGUCAUGAGAGCUGCUGCUAGAUCUGGAUCAGUAGGUUUUUUUUAAUCUGUUGCCCAGGCUGUAGUGCAGUGGCGCAAUCUCGGCUCACUGCAACCUCCGCCUCCCAGGUUCAAGUGAUUCUCCUGCCUCAGCCUCCCGAGUAGCUGGGAGUACAGGUGCACGCCACCACACCCAGCUGAUUUUUGUAUUUUUAGUAGAGAUGGGGGGGGGGUCUCACCAUGUUGGCCAGCCUGGUCUUGAACCCCUGACCUCAGGUGAUCCACCCGCCUCGGCCUCCCAAAGUGCUGAGAUUACAGGCGUGAGCCACCAUGCCUGGCCUGAAUCAGUAGAUUAACAAGAAAUCCAAUAACAAUUACUUUAUUAUUUUGGUAACCGUAUUUCAAUAUAGUUGGUGUAUGAGUUGGUUCUCACACUGCUAUAAAGAUACUACAAGAGACUGGGUAAUUUAUAAUCAAAGGAGGUUUUAUUUAUUUACUGAGACAGAGUCUUGUUUUGUCCCCCAGGCUGGAGUGCAAUGGUGCAAUCUCAGCUCACUGCAACCUCCGCCUCCUGGUUUCAAGUGAGUCUUCUGCCUCAGCCUCCCAAGUAACUGGGAUUACAGGUGCGUGCCACCAUGCCCGGCUAAUUUUUGUAUUUUUAGUAGGACGGGGGGGUUUCACCACGUUGGCCAGGCUGGUCUCGAACUCCUGACCUCAAGUGAUCCACCCACCUCAGCCUCCCAAAGUGCUGGUAUCACAGGUGUGAGCCACCUCGCCCAGCCUACAAAGGAGGUUUAAUUGACUCACAGUUCUGCAUGGCUGGGGAGGCCUCAGGAAACUUACAAUCAUGGUGGAAGGGAAGCAGGUGCCUUCUCACAAGGCGGCACGAGAAAGAAGUUCAAGCAGGGGAAAUGCCAGCUGAAGCCUGGGCCCAGGUGAUUACUGAGGCCAAGAGGUCCCACGCCCGCGAAGACCCAGGGAAGCUGGUGGUGCAGUGCGGUCUGAGUCUGAAGCCCUGAGAGCCGGAGGGCUGAUGGCGUUAAUCUCGUGUCAGGGCCAGAGAAGGUGAGGUAAGUGUCCCAGCUCAAGCAGCGUGGCAGGAAGAGGGGGGCAAAUUCACCUUUCUCUGCUUUCUGCGCUAUUCGGGUCCUCAGCAGAUUGGGUGACGCCACCCAUCCUGGGGAGGGCGGCCUGCUUUACAGAGCCCACUGAUUCAAAUGCUAAUCUCAUCCGGAACACCCUCGGACAUCCCCAGAAAUAACGUUCAACCCAGGCCAGGGGAGCUGACACAUAAAGUUAACCAUCACACCGCCGGCAUGGAGAGGGAGCCCACAGGAAGGAGCUGGUGCUGCUGUCUCGACUCUGACCCUCGGCUGUGUGGGUCGUUCUGGCCCCUGCCCCUGCUUGUCUGUAGCUCCCACCCCACAGUGAGGAACCUGCCCCACCGCCCACCAUCCAUGGACCUAAUCGCUAAGCUGCAGUGUGCAGGGGGAGCGGUGUAGGAACUGCUCACCUGUACCCCGUGGCAGAAGCGUGUGUCUACCAGGGUACAGGGCUCAUGUGCGGGUCCAUUUGCUUUUGGCUUCACAGACUUCGUCAUUUGUGAGGGUACCCAGGUCAGCCCCAUCCCCCAGCCCCUCCCUACGUCUGUAAUACAGCUGCUCCCUGGGUCUGUAAUACAGCCAGAGGCUCUCGCCACACACGGCCCGCCUUCUGUCCUAGACCCCCAGCCUCUUGACUGAGCUUUAAAAUUUGCAUACAUUAAGGCUCACUCUUGCUGUAAAGUUCUGUGGGUUUUGACAGAUGCACAGUAUCAUGUCUCUGCCAUUACAAUGUCGUUCACAUUAGUUUCACAGCCCUAAAAACCCCCCUGUGCUCCACCGAUCCAACCAUUUCCUCUUUCCCGAACUCCUGGCAACAACUGUUUCCAUAAAUGUAUUUUUGUGGUGGGUUUUUGGUGAACAAUUUUAUCAAAUUAGAAAUAUUUCAUUUGUUUCAAUUUCUAAUUUGCCCAGAAAUUUUUAAAAAGUCACCGAUGGCAUCACUUGAGACAUUGAGACACUUUUUGCCCUGUCAUCUAUUCAGAUGGUAUUUGCAUGGAUCGGAUUCUGAGAUUAAACCUUCCUUGAAUUCCUGGGAGAAACCCUUAGAUCUAUCAGGGUCCCAGCAGGAAAGAGACCCACAUUUAGAGCAGGCUACUUGCAGCAGUGUUUAACAAAGGGGCUCUUUAUAAAGGUAGGGCAGAGUAUUGGAAACCUCAAGGGGCAGUACAUGUCCCAGGGCUGGCCAAAGGCAUGCCUGGUGGAGAGAAUUUUCUGGAAUGUGAAGGAGAGUGCUGUGGAGAGGAGCCAUGACAUUCCCAAGGUCACCUCACACAGUCAUCUGCCAUCAUUUGCAGAUCACAUGUCAGCUUACUUAGCAAGCCCAACAGAAUGGACAGGAAAACAUAAUGUUAUAAACACAUAAUUCUCCCCAGAGAAUUAUGGGGACAUAAUAAAUUCAAUGCAAUUCU